rnacentral:tRNA from 1 species
CGCGGGGUGGAGCAGUUGGCAGCUCGUUGGGCUCAUAACCCAAAGGUCACAGGUUCGAGUCCUGUCCCCGCUACCA